rnacentral:rRNA from 1 species
CCUACGGGUGGCAGCAGUGAGGAAUAUUGGUCAAUGGGCGGAAGCCUGAACCAGCCAAGUAGCGUGCGGGAUGAAGGCCCUACGGGUCGUAAACCGCUUUUGCACGGGGAUAACACCCUCCACUUGUGCAGCUUUGCAUGUACCGUGCGAAUAAGGGCCGGCUAAUUCCGUGCCAGAAGCCGCGGUACUACGGAGGGCCCGAGCGUUAUCCGGAUUCAUUGGGCUUAAGGGGAGCGUAGGCGGGCGUUCACACCAGCUGUAAAAUCGCGCGGCUCAACCGCGCCCCGCAGUUGAAACUGGAAGCCUUGAGUUCACGACAGGCAGGCGGAAUUCGUGGUGUAGCGGUGAAAUGCAUAGAUAUCACGAGGAACCCCGAUUGCGAAGGCAGCCUGCCGGGGUGCGACUGACGCUGAGGCUCGAAGGUGCGGGUAUCAAACAGGAUUAGAUACCCCUGUAGUC